UGGUAGCGUACGUGUAUACAUGUAUGGCUGCGUACAUAUGUAUACAUUACGUUCACACAAUAUAUAUUUAUAUAUAUAUACAAAAUUGAGUAUGGUAGAGAGAGAGAGAGAGAGAGAGAGAGAGAGGGGGAUUAAACAGUCCAGUACUUGCUGCGUUAAAUGUCGAUGUUGUUUGUUAAAAAAAAAAAGAAAAAAAUCAGAAAUCCCACGCUUCUUCUGACUCGUGAGUGGCGGGACUUCGGUACACAGUUCAGUGACAACUAUGAAGCACAGCUGACACAUAGUCACACGCAAUCAUAGAAAAAAAAAGAAAAAAGGCAGAUCGGCGUUUAUUUAAACUUCGCGAUUUUCAGUUUUCGAUAAGUACGUACAAGACGGAAAAAAAAACGAAAUCGAGAAAUUCGCGAAGAACAUCGAGAAACAUCAUUGACCGAUUUGCCACAGUCGUUGUCGAAAAACAAUGUAAUAAUGUAAUCAAAUAGAAAACACAAAGAAUCAAAGAGAAAUACGUUCUGUAUAGAUUGACGUAUUAAAGUAUAUUAACGUAUAUAACUCUCGACCGAUCGGAUCAUUAUAGAUCGGCGAUUCGUAUUAGAGAAAAAGUAAACAGGAGAGAAAGGCGUAAGGCGUAAGAGGAAAUACCGAAAAUCCUGCCUCACGACAGCAUGAGCAUUAAGUGUACCAUUAAACUCUACUACUACGAUGAGAUAGGAAAGCGAAAAAAAUGAGCGAAAGUGCGCGCGCGAACGUGUUUGCCUGUGUGUACGAGAGCGAAAGAAACAGGGCAAGGAGUUUUAAUACUGAGAUGUAAUUAAAUAAUCUAACCGUCGUUUAUAAAUGAAUAUAUAUAUAUAUAUAUAUAUAUAUAUAUAUUAAGACAAAUACUGAAUAUAUAUAUAAAGUAAAUAUAUAUUAUAUAUAUUAUUACUGCAUUGCAUAGAUAGUAUAUAUAUUAUAUGUGCGACAUAUACAUAUAUAUAUGACUAUUUUCUUCUAUGAAUAUUGUGUAUGUGAGGUGAGUGCUAUUUUCAUCGUACGUCGGAAGACGCACCGCGAUCCGUGACAAGACGCGAGACCUUUGAUAACGAUUCUAGACGCGAGAUUCUAGAUGAAAAUCUUCCUAGCUUCUUUCUUAUGAGAGCAAAUAUUUUAUCUGAUAUAAUAGAAAAAAACGAAUGUUUAAGACAAUUUUAAUAAAUAUUUUAAUAGAAAAGUAUAUAUAUAUAUUAUACAUAUUAUAUUAUAUAGAAGAGAAAGCUAUCUUCGUAGAUUCACUAUGUAACAUUGUACUUCAAUCAACUAUAGCAUUCAACAUACGUCCUCAAAAGAUUUCAUUAUCGCGUCAUAUAUCUUCUUAAAAGUUGGAUCGAUUACGAAUUCUAUGUUAAGCUAUCACAGUUAUUGCUCUUCGAUAGCAAUAUCUAUCUCGCGUUGUCCGCCGCGGCGCGUCUUGCGCCAGCUAUCUCAACACCGAGCUAUACCAAAAAGCAAAUUAAUAACAAAAAAGACAUGUAUGAUGUGUAAGCCAAGUGCCUUGUGUUCUGGUAACUAAUCGUUGACUUUUAACUACGAUAUUAGGGGAAAUGAGAACGAGAGUGAAAAAGAAAGAUAGAGAAGCGAUGAAUGAAGAACUUGUCAAUAUCAGCUUACGCAAAUGUAAGCAUGUUUAUCGAUAAGAGAGAAAUUCUUUUCUUUGAUUAAUGAAGGUGAAAAAAAAAGAAUAAUAUUGAAAAUCCAUCUAUUUGAUUUCAGCAAGUACUUUGCGUUGCAAAUCCAGCGAAUCUAACUGAAUUACCCGAAUUGCAUUUCAUAAACUUUGUAUAUUUUGAUCGUAUAUAUUUGGAGAUAUAUUUUCCACGAUGUUCUAAUAAUAAAUUAAAUAAUUGUAAUUUUUACUUUAUGAAAUUCGAGUAUUGUACGAUGUCAUCAUAAUAUCUCACAUUUAUUAUUUACUUUACUAAUUCUUCCCAAUAUUUUGGAAAACAGAUAAAAAUUAAUUUUCUAUCUCGAAUUUGUAAUUCCGCGUUAAACAACAAAUAGUUCUAGUCCAUUCUUAUUAUCAAUCACCCUCGAGUUUAAGCAACAUGCCAUCAUAUGUGCCAAAGCAAAUUGGCGAUAGCCAACGCGUGUACCUGGUUCCGCAAUUCUAUCUUUAAGAAUUACAAGUUCGGUUUCAACCAGCCAGUUUCUCCGUUCUCACUGCCUAUAUAUGUUUCUGUAAGAUUUUGUAUAAUACAAUCUUUCUAUCGUCUAUUCAUUCUUAAUGAAAUUAUCUCGCUGUUUUUGCAACGCAUUGGCGAAAUAUUAACUAAAUUAAACUUUUCAUAAAACGUAAAUAAUAAAUAUGAAAAAUCCGUUUUCUCUCUUACCUUGUUUUCGUUACGAAAUCGUAAGGAAGUACGUCUGAAUUCAUACCAUCUAGGAGGGGCACUUGAAAUUUCAUUUAGCUUCGAUAACUUCCGUGAUAUAUUACUCAACAUAUAUAUUAUAAUAUAUAUAAAUUAAUAAAAAAAUAUUUAUAACAUUAGUGAAAAAAUAAAUUAUCACAUAUUACAAUUCUUUUACAAAUAAUUUGUUUUUGAAAAUUAAUAGCACACGAAAACAUCACUUCUUAUUUCAAUAAUACAUUAAUAAUUUUAUUGCAAGAAAAUAAAUAAAAUCUCUGAGAGAGUUUUAAAAAUGUUUUGAGAAGAUGUUUAAAUCAAUAUAAAAAAUGAUGAUACAUCAAUGUUUUUUAUAAAAAUUUUAAUCACGGAAGUAACAGAAGCGAAGAGUGAAAAUGUGUCUAGCAGUGUGUCGCCGGGAUGUAAUGUGCGUGCGAAUUCAACAGCGGAAUGAGUAAGGACUAUUCAUUAUCUUAACAACGGUUGUUAAUAGAGAUACUUCUGCCGUAGCGCAACCAACAAAGGCCCCGUAUCGGGUCUUUUUCAUUCGAAGUAGGCACUGUUUGGUGUUGUGAUAAGAGGCAAAGAGUGAUAGAGCAACAACAAAAAAGAAAAAAAAAAAAAUAGUUGCAAGUGUAAAUUGGAUGACUGAAUGAACGAUGAGUGUAUAUGUGCGUGUUUCUUUCCAGUGAGAUUCUAUAUUACACUUAAUGUAUAUCUCUCAAUUGUAAAACGCUAGCUAUGUCUACAAGGAAUUGAUGUAAAUAGUAGUUUCGGUAUAGAUAGCAAAAGUGUCGUGGCCGAGGGAGUUCUGCAUCCAUGACGCACGGGGAAACCGCCUCGCAAUUGUUUAUCGAUUAAUAAGAAAACUAAUUCGCACAAGUGGCCAAUAUAUUUAAGUUCCUUCAGUGAUUGUGCAACUAUUGUCGGAGGUGCCGAUAAUCACGAAACAUUCAUAAGAAACGAUAUGAGUCUCAUAAAUUAAGAAAGGCUCUAUAAGCUAGAAAAAAAAUUUUCUCUUGGUUUUAAAAUGCUCUUUGUAACUCAAAGUAUUUUUACAAUAGAUUGGAUUUCUACCAGGCACGAUAAUGUAAUGAAAUAAUAACCGAAGUGCGUAUGAACUCGUGUCAAAAUAAUAAUGCCACUAAUAUCGUUUCCUACGAAUACAAUUUACAAUUAACAAUUAUUCUACAAUUUUGAGUGUGUGUAUGCGUGUGAUAAGCGAGAGAUCCUCGAUAAAUGUGUCAUGCGGCACUUCGCCUCAUGGAUGCAUUGACGUGGAUGAAAAAGACCCUAAGCAGACAAUCUUCCGUUAGUUAGUCCUUUAAAUGCGAGUUGUGGCACUUUGACUGCGGGUGUGAAUGCUUACGGAAAGUAUUAAUUUAUAAGGUGCAGAUGUAUGUAGAGAGCCCUGAUCGUGUUAGAUUCUGUCAUAAUAAUGUUUUUUCUAGGUAGAAUAUAAUGCGAAUAUCUUUGUCGUACGGGCGCGAAAGUGGAUACCAAUGUGGAUAUACUUUAUGCAAAAUUUAUUAUGUGAUGAAUGUAAGAUCAACGCAGUCUUGCAACUUUUUCGACAAAUAAUUCGAAGCGUAAUCGUAACUGGUAAAAUUUCUAAUUCCUAUAAGAUGCGAUUACUCUCCGAUUUAUAUAAUGAGAUAUGUGAAAAUUUUAAAUGUUUUUAUGCAAUUAUUGGAAUUAAUUUCAUUCAUAUAAUGGAAUUAAUUUGAUCCAUAUAAUCAUUCUAAAAUUAAUGAAUCCACACACGCUAUCCACUUCAGCUCGUUUGUGUUGCUCUUGUAUUGUUAACGUUUAUACCUUCUUCCUAAAUGAUCUCCUGUGCAAUCGGUGCUGCAAUGAAAAUUAAGUUCUGUACAAGCGUUGAUUGACAUUCACGAAAAGAGGCGCUUUAUAUAACCUGUGCGAUCACAGAAACACUUGUUCCGAGGCAUUUUCGACAUCAUUUCUAGAUGAGACAGCGAUUUACAGCAGUAUAAGCAAACUAUCGCAAAGUUGUAACACAAAGUGACGUUGGUACUUCCGAUAACUUGUCGCUAAUUAUUGUUCACAUAUACAACAAGUCUAAUUUUAUGGUAUGUUAAAUGUACAACAUCCCGUAAUUAUUACUAUCGUUAUUAUUGCGGCUUCCAGACUUAUCAUAACGAGUCCCAAUGUACACUACUGUGACCGAAAGGUGCGACAAUGAUUGUUAUAAUAUCGACAUCUGAAUCCGCGUACAUUUUUGCUCCCCUUGUAUUUCGCAAAAAUCCGGUGACAAAUAACAAUGAAGCUCAAAAAAUUAAAGCGAAAACGACGAGGGAUAUGCUUUCUCGCGAAAAUUCAAGGUACCUAUUCUAAUAUCGAACAUCUGCCGGAAAAUCAAAUUGUAUCGAGUUACACAUCACGAAUGAAUCGAUCCAACUAUCGCUCAAGUUAUCAUGCUACACUGUCGCAUUAACAUAUAUUACGACUGGAUCAGUAUAUCGUGAAGAUCUACCUCCCUCGAUUGUACUGAUAAGAUCGUCCUCGCAUGAGCGUUUUCCGAGAAAAACGUUCAACAAUAAUCAUUGUGCCAAAUUAUAAUCAAAUCUAACCACUCAAUCAAAAAUCUCGAGGAAAAGAGAACUGGGUCAAAGCCGCAAAUGCAGCAAGAAAGAUAUAUAGAGAGAAUCAAAAUCUAGGCUAUUUAUAAAUCUCGAGCGAUCCGAGUGAAAAGAAAGAGUUAAUCUUAUUUUCCGUGAAACAAAAUUAAAAAGUCAUUGCGGUAUGUUUAUCUAAAUUUUUAGAUCUUAGAAUUUUUCUGCACUUUCAAGUUUUCCGCAGGAAUGUUUCCUGGAAUAUUAUAUAUUUCAAAUCUAAGUUGUGUGAAAUAAAAAGAAGAAAGAUAGCUCGUUCGUUCUUACUCGCUUCGCUUCAACAUCGAUCGUAUUAAAACGCGUUCGUCAAGCCUGGCUUGUCAAAAGAGCCUUUCGUAGAUUUUCCCGUUCCUCUCAGCCACCGACCCUUUUUAAGAUUUAAAUACUUUUUAAGCGAGAAGAGAGACGAGAGAGGCGCCUCGUAGCCCGCAGCGGCGAACGUGUAGUAUGCAAUAAUAACAUGUAUAAAGAGCAUGGAUUUUAUAUGUGUCGUACUCGUACAUGGAAAAAAAAAGCACCCUUAUCUUCCCCGAUCCUUCUUAUUCCGUAUCGAUUCGGUAUCGAUUAAUUCAACGACGACUGCGUCGCGAGCUAGUACUCGUCGUGCACAUGACUUAAGGCUAUUCUCGAGUCACUCUCGUGAUCUGUUGAUAUCAUUCUUGACAAUCAAUACGAUAUUGAAGGUUGAAUAAUCUUUAAUUCCUUAACGAACAUAGAUCAUGAAUUUGUUAAAAAUGUUUUAAUCAUUUUUAUAUUUGAAUAAACUAAUGUUUAUUAACAUUAAAAUAAAAUUACUAAUAUAAUUAUUUAUAUUCUUGUUUAUAGAUAAAAUUAAAUUAUACGAUUAUUGUAUUCGUUGACAGACUCUCAAGAUGUUCUCACGAAGAGAAAGCGCAUGAUCGAAUUUUUUCCGCGAAUUAAAUGCUAUUAAUGCUAAUAAGCAUGUAUUGCACAGAAAUGCAAAAAACACAGUUGAAGCUUUGAAUAAGGGAUAAGUGAUCUAAAGAAGAAUAACGUCCCGCUCGCGUGUGUCUGCGACGGCGAUAUCUCGCGAGGAUUCUUCGUGUAUUUUUAAGUAGUACAUAUAAAGGAAGCAGUAUUAAGAAUGGUCAGUAACGGUGAAAGAUAUAUAGAUUCGCCUAUUUAAUACUAAAUGUAGCUGUCUAAUUGCGAGUCUUAUUUCUGUAAUGCGAAAAUCGCAGUUGUGUGACAAGAAUUUUUACGCACAUUUAGUGCUAAAUGCGCGGCGAAAAUAUGAACCAGAGAUAUGUGCCAUUAAUCAUCGCUGAAUCGUGAAACGAUUGCGAAACGUGUCACUCGGUGCGAUCGAGAUAUCGAAAAGCAAUCAGCGUCGCUAGAAUGUCGAUAAUUUCGAAAGAACUGUGAGCUGGUUUUACCGAAACAAUCGUUGACUUUAAUCUUGAUUUAAGUGGCUCUAUCACUUUCUAUAGAACGAAAAGGAGGAAAUGUUAAAGCUAAUUGUCGAUAAAACCAGCCAUGUAAGACAUGACACCCUUUAUACUCGAAAUUUGCGGAUGAGAGGCCUGAAAACCCGAAGAAAUUUAUCCUUCUAAUCCUCUUGCUGGGCUGGACGAAUAUUUUCUUGAAAAGAUACGCCAAUUGCCCCUUGACUCUCUCAGCAAUCUUUCUGCGCCGUAAGUUGUACAUAAUAAUAUAAAUGUAUAUAUACAUAUAUAUUUAUAUAUAUAUAUAUAUAUAUAUAUGAUUGUCAAAGGUGUUCGCGCAUAUUUUUAUGUAUGUCAAGAGUGGGUUUCGCAAUCUGCAUAAAUCGGUCGGUGUGUUGCUGUCGUGCUCGGUGUCGUUUACUUUUGUAUCCCCGACCUCAUGCGUGUAUAUAAAAUUGUAAAAGUAUCUCUUUCUCCUCCAAACUUGUCUUUCCUCGUAGAUUAUAAAAUAUGAGCGUACGUACGUCCAGCCCUACAGCAGAGAGGAGGAUUUCCUAUGUAUCCGUUUAACAGUUGUAUUAUUUAUUUUUCUUCUCACGCGUCCUUUUUCACACACGUCGUUCCUUGGAAAUAGAAAAGCACGACGCGGGUGGAAAAUGCUAAAAGGGGGCUAAAAGAUCGCGUUGUACGAGUGCGUGCGAGAGCGAGAGAAAGCGAGAGAGUGAUGGAGCAACAAAACGAACAAAACAAAAGGGGCGAGAUAUGAAUGUUUGACAUAUCAAUACGACACGAUUCUUCUUGACAACCAUAUAGCAAUACCUCUCCGCUCAAUAUAGUGUCGAAAAAAUUUAAAAAGAAAAAAAAGAAGACAUCUUUUGGAGCAUUUUAAUCGAUGGGGGGCUUUAGAAACCUCGUAUCCCUCUUCCCUUCAGUUAGGAGUUGUAGAUGAAUUUAGAUAUACUUUUGGCUUAUUACCCGCAGCUGGGAAAAGAGCUGACACGCGAACGAGCCUUCUCAUGAAUUUCGUUGUUAAUCAAAACCUUCGGAGACUUUUAACGAUUGCGCUAUAUUUAUGCUAUCAUGAGACGAAGACUUUGAGAGUCAUUGAUGUAACACAAUUGUCAAUAAUCCACGGCUUGGAUUGAACAUUAAAUGCAACAGUUUAUGGAAAAUUUUUCAUUUUAUUUAAACUUGUGGUUUAUCUUUUCUGAAGACAAACAAUCAUUAUUGAAGUGAUUUUUUUCAGGGUCGUCUUUCAUCGAUUAUAAAAAUAAUAAUCAAAACGAAAAUCAAAAUAUAAGGAUAUUUAUAUAUUUCUUAUUAAUUUUGCGAAAUUUUACACGUACAGUUUAUUAAAUCAAACUACGAUAUAUAUAUUGCCUUUUUUAACAAUAUUUCUUACAAUACAAAAAUAUAUUAUCAUAAAAAAUAUAAAACUUUUUAUGCAAAAUGAUUUUAAAUAUGAAUAAUAAUUUUUAUAAUACAGCUUAAUGAUUAGCUGCAAAAUAUAUAAAUAUAAAGGCGACCCUGGAUUUAAUUAUAAUAUUAAUAAAACAUGGAUAAAGGAAAAAUCACGGAAAUAACGAAGACAUUUUCUUCAAAAUGAUAUUAAAAACAUAAGAAAAGAAAGAGAGAGAGAAAAAUUAUCCAUUAUUUAUUCUGUAUCAUAAUAUAACAUCCAUAACGUAUAUAUUUAUGAAUUGUAAAAACAAAAAUUGAAUCAAAAAAUAGAAAUGUUUUCCAAAUAUAGCGAAAAAGAUAUACAGCAAGUGAAGGAUAGGAUCGAAUGAAAAUGAUAUUUCAAAGUGAUAAUAACUCAUCAAUUUCUUUUUUAUUUAUUUUAAUCUACUUUAUUAGUAGAUAGCAAUUACUUCUACAUCCAACAAUAAUGCCUUUUCUCAAAUAAAUGUCCAAAUUUAAUUCAAUUUCACUCGCUGUCGCUAUUUUACACGUUAAAAUAUCAAUGCCAAAAACCACAAAGAUAAUCUUUCUCUCUCUUCCGAUAUUUAUAUUUCUAUAUACAUAUAAACAAGCGUAUAUGUGCAAGUACGUAUACACAAACAAUAUACGCACACAUAAGUUUUUAUGUGUCAAGUCUUGAAAAGGCGUACACACAUCGCAAAGCACAGAAUAUACACGUAGAAAAUGCGGUUGAUACAUCGAAUUCAACGAGAAAGUCACAGGUAUAAAUCAAACGGGGAAAAUUGAAAGAGAUAAAAUUUAAUCAAAUAGAUGAUAUCAGUGGCACGGCGAAAAUGCCUGACAAAAGACACAUGUAUGACGAGACAAUGUUCGCUAGACGCAAGGAUACAUACUACAGUACAAGGUAGACAAAAUGUUUAUAAGAUAUCGACUAGGUUUCUCGAUGAAUUUCCUUUUAAACUAGCACUAGUAUGAGCGAAGAGACAAUGUAAAUGUGUGAGAAAUCUAUUCCUUUUCUGCCCCUUACCCAUCCUCUCGAGCCUCCGCGCCAUUCUUUUUCUCCCUCUGUACGACGAGUGUAAAAAUAUCAUGUAAUUAACACACCGAUAAUAUACAUAAAUAUAUAUAAAUAUAUAUAUAUAUAUAUAUAUAUAUAUAUAUAUAUAUAUAUCUCACGCAUACGCGCCCGAGCGCCAUGUGCGCGUGCUCGUCGUAUACGCGCGUUAUGGCAAGAUGAUUGAUUGUGAGUCAUUUAAAUAAUUGUUAUAUGUAUUUUCUAUAUAUUAUGAUAAAACUAAUACAAUGAUAUAUAUAUUGAGAUGACAUUACGGUACUAUUAACUAUUAAGUGUAGUUAAUUUAGAGACUAUUCGGGGAUAUAUUAUAUCCGCGCCAAGCAAAACCGACAUCUCGAUGAAGAGUUGGAUCGCUCUAUAUAAUCCAACACUUUCUACAACACACUCUCCGCACAUACUAAGAGAAAGAAAGAAGGAAUUGCGUGCGUGAGGCACAAGCGAAACAAGCGAGACACUCGAGAUGACACCCUCGCAUCCUCCGACUCCCCUUUUUUCAAAAUAUAAAAAAGAAUUUAUGAGAUGAGAGAUCAGACGAGAGCAGAUGAGAAAAGAUAAGAACAAAUAAUAAUGCGUGGUUAAAGGUGUGGUGUCAUCUCGUGUGUUUGUGUGGUCAAUGUUGAUAUUUGGAAAAGAAAAAGAUGUACACAUACACACGCAUGCCCGCAUGCAUAAACACACACACACACACACAUACACACUGAGUGAAGAAACCACAAUGCGGAAUUUGCAACAAAAAAAUGUAUUUUCUCACUCCCACUGCGCGAGGUGUAUGUUCAUCGCUACAUCUUAUUUGGAACGAAAACCUAAAUAUUAUUAUAUAAAAUUACUGUAUAAUUGUAACACGAAAAUUGUUUUUCAAACGAUAUGGUAUUUUUAUUGUAGAUAUUAUUAUAUAACAAAUAAAAUCAUGAUUCAUUGUA